UUUAGAAAUUAAAAUACUCUGAUUACAUCAUAAUGUUUACACACAUAGAAGUAGAAAAUAACUUGGCCUACAUGCCCCACAUUUACUGAACUUUAUACAGGUAUUUUGGUAGCCCAGUGUAUGAAUUGGAAUGGUUACCACCUCAUUUGUAAUUGCAAUUUAAAAAAAACAUGAGUCAAACAGAAGUCAGCAGGGACCAUUAUAGCAAAUGUAAUACCGACAUGAGAUAGAUUUGAAUUUAUUUAUUUCUUCUAAUUUAAUCUAAGAGUUAAAUCGUAGACAUUCUCCUGGCGCCUGGUGGCGACCACUGAAGACAUAGCGGGUAAAGGUAUGCCAUUGAUUGGCCUGUUCUGUUUAGAUAAAAUGGAGGCAAGUGAAGUUUAACUUUUUCAUCUGAAGUUUAGGAAGCAAGUAUAUUCGUUUUGUUUGUUUCCUGGAUGGUUAGCCGGCCUGUCAGCAGGGCACGGCUCUAUCUGACGGCGGAGGGGAGGAGAGAAGAGGCAAGCUGCACCAGCGCAGGUCCACCUCUCCACUCUGCACGCAGCCCGUCUCCGCUGAGAGACACACGAGGCGGGACAUGUACUGUAUGUCCGUGGGUGAGGCGUUGUGGUAGUUGUCGCUCAAAAUUUCAAAAAUGUGGGGCACUGGUAUUAUAGGCCUUUAAAUUCAGAAAUGGUACCUUGGGCCCCACACUAUACACUAUAAAAAAAAAAAAAAAGCUUUCAGAAUGGCACUUUUUUGUCCAUAGAAUAAAAGGGCGGGUGCUCUACCACCACCUAGUGUCUAUCUGUGCACGUCCCUGCGUUGGUCGUAUGUUCCUGUUACUCCCAUGGAACCCCCAGUAACAAAAUUCACCACUUACUCACCCAGCCUGUUACUAUUGACCAUUAUGAGAACGACGAUUAGUAAAACUUAUCGUCUUCAAUCCAACAGGUUGUUUGGUGUGGAUCUUCUGAAAGCCCAUAGCUUCUCUUUAUAGUCCUUGCUUCUGCCGGAGUUGGAUGCCUUCCUCGCUGUGGGUUGGCCCGCUCUCGUCCAGGCUAGGACCCAAACAGCGACAUCCAGUAUCUGGGAUUUUCCUCCUCCAACACCUUUCAUCCUGGUGUGAUAAAGCAGACUGCAAGUGAAGCAGACCGGCAGCAGCACUGGCCCGUCUGCACAGUCUGGAUCUUCUCCCAGCAGUGGCAGCAUCAACAAGGGGCUUUGGCUUGGAAAUCCCACUUGAGCUGUGAUGAUCUCUGUGCGCUUGUGUUAGAUCCCCGUGGGGUCCGGCUGUUGGACCUACCCACCCGGACUGUGUUCCAGCCAAUCAGGUGCUGAUGUGUCCAAACAGGAGACGGGCUGUGGCGACAGAUGGCGGGCUGACCUGGAAAACCUGCCCCCGUUUUAGGGUUCAGCAGCCCGCAGAUGACAGUCAGGACGCAUCACCCGGCCCGCGGACGACUCUAAUCGCAUCGACAGGUGACACGUAUGUGGGAACCAGAAGAUGAUGGGGGGACGAGUCGGAUCGUGUGACCUGCGCCUCACAUGCCUCCUCCGUGUGUCGUACGUGUGUGAGGAGCUUCGCUGUGACAACAGAUGACAUUUAGGAAACAAACUGAGGGAAAUCUUGCUAACAGGAUUUUGAGGUUCACUAAAUGUCCUCCUCACUACUAUUAACAUCUCCCCACAGACACAGAGAACAAAAUGUCAUCCCUAGAAGAUAGCAAGAGCUGCAGUAGUCCAGACGUGCCUGAAGAUGAAGGAGAAGAGGGACGCAGCUCCAAACAGAGACACUCUGAGGAGAAACCUCAGUGUGAACAGUGCGGCAGGAGAUUUGCUAACGCAAGGAAUCUGAAGCAACAUCAGCAAAUUCACACAGGAGAAAAGCCUCACAUCUGUAGCUACUGCAGCAAGGGUUUCUCAACCUUGAGCAAUCUGAAAGCUCAUCAGAGGAUCCACACUGGGGAGAAGCCUUACAGCUGUGACAGAUGUGGACGAUGCUUCACUUGGUUAGUAACUUUGAAGCAGCAUCUGAGAAUCCACGAUGAAGAGAGAUCUUAACCACAUCCAUCAACUGAUGCCUCCAGCUGCUAUAAGUUUUGUCUUGCUGUUUCACAGACACCAACAGUGGAAACGU